GACAGAGGGUGCAAACGUUGUUCGGAAUUACUGGGCGUAAAGGGCGCGUAGGCGGCGUGGUAAGUCACUUGUGAAAUCUCUGAGCUUAACUCAGAACGGCCAAGUGAUACUGCUGUGCUAGAGUGCAGAAGGGGCAAUCGGAAUUCUUGGUGUAGCGGUGAAAUGCGUAGAUAUCAAGAGGAACACCUGAGGUGAAGACGGGUUGCUGGGCUGACACUGACGCUGAGGCGCGAAAGCCAGGGGAGCAAACGGG
rnacentral:rRNA from 1 species